rnacentral:rRNA from 1 species
GGUUCAGGACGAACGCUGGCGGCGUGCUUAACACAUGCAAGUCGAACGGGGAGUAUGCGAGCGGAAGGCUUCGGCCGGAAGGUUGCAUAUUCGAGUGGCGGACGGGUGAGUAACGCGUGAACAAUCUGUCCCAGACAGGGGGAUAACACUUGGAAACAGGUGCUAAUACCGCAUAAGACCACGGAGUCGCAUGGCACUGGGGUAAAAGGAGCAAUCCGGUUUGGGGUGAGUUCGCGUCCGAUUAGCCAGUUGGUGAGGUAACGGCCCACCAAAGCGACGAUCGGUAGCCGACCUGAGAGGGUGAUCGGCCACAUUGGAACUGAGAGACGGUCCAAACUCCUACGGGAGGCAGCAGUGGGGAAUAUUGGGCAAUGGGCGAAAGCCCUGACCCAGCAACGCCGCGUGAGUGAAGAAGGCCUUCGGGUUGUAAAGCUCUGUUAUAGGGGACGAAGGAAGUGACGGUACCCUAUAAGGAAGCCCCGACUAACUACGUGCCAGCCGCAGC